CGCCUACACCAUGAACGCAGCGGGAUGAAAAAACAUGGUCAAAUCUGAAGACUAGCUUAUAAUUUAUAAGCGACCAGCAAACAUAUAAUCCACCAACCGACCUGACAACACGCAUAGAGGAAAAGCAAUCCAAUCCAGAAUAAACUCCUUAAGCAGCCACCGCCUAAACUAAGCGAUCUCCUGACAAAGCAGUAAAUUAAGGUCCGUCGCAUCAAGCCGCGCAAUCGCAAGAUAGCAGCCGCGCGUGAGGUAGUACGGUGAACCUCGACCCUCGUGGAGGUCAUCGUGGUCAGCGUGUAGCAGCCUAGCAGGAUGGCGCUGGGGGAUGCUGAGACUGGAGCGUCGGGAGUCGUCGAGUCAGCGUGCGACAGGGCGGCCACAGCGAGGGGAAUGGCCACAUAAGAUGUUGGGGAGGAGCGGGCAGGAAUCGGGAUAGGUACGGCGGCGGCAACCAGAGAGGGGAUGGUCACAUGAGAGAGUUUACCAAACUCCACUGGCGGCUGCGAGCUCGGCGGCAUGGCAACUUGGAACAGUCGCCUCCUCCCUGCGACCACCAGCGCCUAGCGCCACCACCGCUCCGUCCUUCUCCGUUCAAGACCAUGCCAUCCGUUCUGCGACCGCGUGAACAUUCUCCCCAUGGCCCCUUUCAGCCAUCCACCGCCGGGCCGUUCCAGUGGUUGCCUGCCUCGUCUUCCUUCGCGGAUGGCCGGUCGCCUUCCUCCGUUGGUCGUUCACAAAGCUCGAGCUUCGCGGACCGCGAGGUCCGGGACGAUGGGUUUGGGAGACUCACACAUGCGAAACCGGCAGCAGCAUCACCCACAUCCAUGCAUUUGAUGAGCAGGCGGCACAAAAGAAGACGGUGGCAUGAAGAUCUCACGGCGAGGGCGUGGCGGGGUGAAGGUAUGUUGAGGACGUGGUGCAGUGGGUGCAAGUGCAACAGCGAUUAGGACGCACUCCGGUAUUUAUAGAGACAAACCGCUCCAGAAAAAUCGGAUCAAGUUGGAUCGAGAAAGCUCUGGCGAAAACGAUUUCACACGUGUCGAGAACCAACACCACAUGCCAGAUUUGCAUGCAAACACGACCAAAGUGGCACUAGUGAGCGCUGUCCAACAGCGGCAGAAACAGAAAGGGACACAUCGAUUGGGCCAGAAGCGGCCGGGAGACAAACCGAACGAAGAAACAUCGAUUGGGCCAGAAGCGGCUGGGAGACAAAUCGAACGGAGAAGCAGACGCAAAAGAAGCACGUAAGAAGCGACCACACAAGCCUGCCCCACAUGCAGUAAAAAAAUGCUAAGUCAACCAAACCAAUAGCCACACCCGUUCAAAAAAUAUGAACCAAAUAGCUGAGUACACCACUCGUUUCUACACCGCCAGGUACCAAAAAAAGGGCACGUGCCAAGCCCAAAAUUCACCAUGGGUCCUUUUCAUCCAAAUGGAUGAAUAAUAGAGCGAAAACCUUGCCGGAUAGAGGCUUGGGUAUUUGUCGAUAAACCCAUUUAGUCAGCCUUCCUAGACAGAAAAGAGAAUUCGGAAGAACACUUCACCAUAGCACACAAAUUAAACCCAUUAAGGUUGCGGAAGGAGCGCCUCCUCGCCUAUGCCACGUCCCGUGAUUUACUGCAGCUCAGUUAACACCUCCCCAAUCCCCAAGGUAACUUCACGAAGGCAGUCAACGCACGCGAGACAAGGGCGCCUUCUCGGCGCCUUCUCGUCUGCUCGUAUUAAUAAUUGGCCCACGUACCACUGCCCCAUUUCCUUCGCCAAGAAGAAAGAAAGAGAUAGAGGAGCCUGCCUUCAGUUGGAUCCGACGAUGCGUCGUGCUGCUGCUCUGUAUUCCUCCCCCCUCUCGAGCGGCUGAUAAGGCGGAGUGGCCGGAAGUGGUGGACCGGUGGGGGCGAGGUAUGUGUCAUGGCGUUUCGGCGGUGGCGUAGCACGGCUUCCUUCCGCUGCAUUCGACGACAUACGAGAUGGCAGUGGUGGUAGGCUGCUGGCAGCGGAGACGCUGGAUCAAUAUCUACCUCGACGCCGGCAAGUCAGCCAGCGGCGACCGCCCCUCCGUGUUCCUCGCGGCGGCGCAAACGGCCAUCAAAGACAUUUCCUGGAGCAGAAGUUGAAGAAGGACCAGAAGGCAAGAGAGAAGGAGGAGAAAAAACUUAAGGCAAGUCAAAACGGCUAGGCUCCAGUUAGCAUAAUUUGUGAUGGGUGCGUGGUGGCCUCCAUGGAAUGGCAUGAAAUCACAAACUACAGAGUUGCACAUGAGAAGGGCACCCCUGUACACGUUGGGAUGCUGAGCAUCUUUUGCAGGGAUUUACUACUGUCAUUCUUUAACGAGAGCAAUCUUAAACCCGGGAAGAUAAUAUUCUACAGGUGUCCUUGAAAGGGGCAUAACGAUUGGCAGUCUUGGUUCAAAGAGUUUCCUGACAUAUGAAAGCAACACUCUCUUUGCCCUUUUCUUUAUGAUUGAGUGCAACAUUGUUGGUGGCAAUUGGAUCGAACUUCCUGCUCGGAUGUAUAGCAAAGCAACUCGCAUCAUGUCCUAUUGUCAGCUAGAGUUGGAUUGCCUAUAUUCAGAUUUGGUAAGCCAUGGUCCUGAAGGGGAAUACUCUAAGAUGGCCCUCUUUUGCAUAUUAAGUUUUGACAUCGAAUUUGCUGGUCGCAAAGGAUACUUCCCAGAACCAAAUCAUGAUCCGGUUAUUCAAGUUUAUUUUAUUACCUUUGUAUUUUGAUUGAUAAGCCACUACAUUUAAUUUCCAAUGUGAAUGCCUUUAUGUGGUAACUGAAUGAGUGUUCUCUUUUUUCUGCCACUGACUUGAAGGAAUAUAUUUUUUAAUAUAUCGAUGCUCAUCAUUGCCAUGUCGGGCUCUCUGGUUCAUGCUACACAGAAGCUUAGAUCUGUAAUCAAGCUAUGGAAGAGAGUACUGUAAGAGACACUUCUAUAAGCAGAGACUUGCUUUUUUGAUUCAGUUGAAGAGCUCUCCUGGCUUAAGAUCUUUCUAGGAUAAUUACGUCGUUAAAUCUGAAGGAUUCACUCAUGUGCCAAAGCCAGCUCAGGGAAGCCUUCCUGUACUCCUGGUCGACCACGACGACCACGACACGAUCUUAAGCAAGCGGAACGCCGAAGGAGGAUCUUGGGGAUGACGGAGGCGUCGAUGACAACCUCAAAGGCGAGAGGUAUUGAGACUGCAAAUUGCUUUCAUGUCGCUGCGUUUCUUACUUUAUGCAACUCCGUCAGUAACUCGGUAUUAAGGCCUUAUAGUUGGUGGGGAGCAACGAAAAACUGAAUUUGUGGAUUUUAUAAUUUGGACUAUCUGUUUGAUACGUCUGCACUGGUGAUGCAGAACAUUGAUCAAGACAGUGUGGGUUUAGAAAUGAGGAAAACAAAUUGGCUUGCAGGGUUUAGGCUACUUGUGCUUGUUUUGCCUUGUGAUUACUUGAAAUUGCAACCUGCAGAUUGAAUGGGCACUUGAUUUGUUAGGA